GUAAGGAGUUUUCGGCAAUGGGGGGAACCCUGACCGAGCAACGCCGCGUGAGUGAUGACGGCCCUAUGGGUUGUAAAGCUCUGUUAUAAGGGACGAACAGCUUUGCUAGGAAAUGAGCAGAGUCUGACGGUACUUUAUCAGAAAGCCACGGCUAACUACGUGCCAGCAGCCGCGGUAAUACGUAGGUGGCAAGCGUUAUCCGGAAUUAUUGGGCGUAAAGAGUGAGCAGGCGGCAGAUUAAGUUUGAGGUUAAAGCGUGGGGCUCAACCCCAUAAAGCCUUGAAAACUGAUCAGCUAGAGUACGAGAGAUGUGAAGGGAACUCCAUGUGUAGCGGUGAAAUGCGUAGAUAUAUGGAAGAACACCAGUGGCGAAGGCGCUUCACAAGCUCGAAACUGACGCUCAGUCACGAAAGCGUGGGUAGCAAAUAGGAUUAGAUACUCGAGUAGUCC
rnacentral:rRNA from 1 species